GUUGGUGAUGACCAGAGAGGUGAGGCGCAGGAAGGCAAGACUGACCACGGAGCAGAGGGGAGAGGCGCGACCACGGGAGAGAACAGACCAAUACUGCAAUACCACCACCACCAGCACACCCACUCAUCCAUGGGUUGUGGCGCGUGGCUGGAGGCAGCGAGUAAUGCAUGAGCGGUGACACCCGCGGCGGCAGGACGUCUCUUGGGACUCAGGUACGUGGUGAUUACACUUUUUGGGCACGCUGAAGGUAGAGCGUGACCUUGAGGCCCCGUGUGGCAGCCCUGUGUGUGUGUGUGUGUGUGUGAGUGUGUGUGUGAGUGUGUGUGUGUGUGUGUGUGUGUGUGUGUGUGUGUGUGUGUGUGUGUGUGUGUGUGUGUGUGUGUGUGUGUGUGUGUCUUGCCCCCGAACAAAGGUGAAUAAAGGUGAACCUGUGCAUACUGCUUUUUCGUGUGUGUGUGUGUGUGUG